rnacentral:rRNA from 1 species
AACGAACGCUGGCGGCAUGCCUAACACAUGCAAGUCGAACGAGACCUCCGGGUCUACUGGCUCUCGGGUGCGUAGCGCGUCGGAACGUGGCCUUAGGUUCGGAAUACCUCUCCGUCAGGGGUGCUAAUGCCGGGAAAUGUACUCUGACACGAGAUUUGUCUCCCUUGGGUGAGCCGGCGUUGGUUUAGCCGGUUGGUAGUGUAAAAGCCUAUCAAGGCGUCGAUCCAUAGCGGGUCUGAGAGACUGAUCCGCCACUCUGAGGCUGAGACGCGGUGCAGACUCUUACGGGAGGGAGCAGUGGCGAAUAUUGGCCAAUGGGCGAAGGGCUGAUGCAGCUAUGCCGCGUGAGUGAUGUUGGCCUUAGAGUUGUAAAGCUCUUUUACACGCGGCGAUAAUGACGGUACCGGAAGAAUAAGCUCCGGCUAACUCCGUG